rnacentral:lncRNA from 1 species
UCGUCCUGAAACUCCGAUGAAGUUAUCACUGUGUCACUUGUGAAAGUCAUUUUGUAAGGUGCUACAGUCGGAUGAUAUUUUCCAGAAGUUCCAGUAACCUUAAAUUUUUAAAUGUAUCCCAUCCAUUCUCCAAUAGGGAGAUUACGCUGGAGACAAUAAAUCUGAUUUCUUUUGCAAGAAGAAUGAAUCUUUCCACCUAAACAUGAAAUAAGGUAUUAUUAUCACUAUUAUAAAAAUGUUAAAACGAUAAUUAACAAAAGUUUAGGAAGUUAAGUUUUUUUUUUUUUUUUUUUUGAUAAAAGAUUUUCUAUUAUUUAAUACUUAUAGUUUCAUCUGCAAAAACACAUUAUAGUGAUUCACCUCCCAAACUUGUGUUUUGAAUUAAGGAGAUCCAAAGGCAUUUCGAAGAGUUUGAGGGCUUUACAAAGAGAAUCAAGUCAAUAAUGGAGAAGGAGAGAGGGAGAGAAUACAGCAUUAAGCUGAUAGGUGAAC